rnacentral:rRNA from 1 species
UGGGGAAUAUUGCACAAUGGGCGCAAGCCUGAUGCAGCCAUGCCGCGUGUGUGAAGAAGGCCUUCGGGUUGUAAAGCACUUUCAGCGAGGAGGAAGGUGGUGAGCUUAAUACGCUCAUCAAUUGACGUUACUCGCAGAAGAAGCACCGGCUAACUCCGUGCCAGCAGCCGCGGUAAUACGGAGGGUGCAAGCGUUAAUCGGAAUUACUGGGCGUAAAGCGCACGCAGGCGGUUUGUUAAGUCAGAUGUGAAAUCCCCGGGCUCAACCUGGGAACUGCAUUUGAAACUGGCAAGCUAGAGUCUCGUAGAGGGGGGUAGAAUUCCAGGUGUAGCGGUGAAAUGCGUAGAGAUCUGGAGGAAUACCGGUGGCGAAGGCGGCCCCCUGGACGAAGACUGACGCUCAGGUGCGAAAGCGUGGGGCAGCAAACAGGAUUAGAUACCCUGGUAGUCCACGCUGUAAAACGAUGUCGAUUUUGGAGGUUGUGCCCUUGAGGCGUGGCUUCCGGAGCUAACGCGUUAAAUCGACCGCCUGGGGAGUACGGCCGCAAGGUUAAAACUUAAAUGAAUUG